AUGGCUCAGGACGAACGCUGGCGGCGCGCUUAACACAUGCAAGUCGAGCGAGAACCAGGACUUCGGUCCUGGGGACAGCGGCGAACGGGUGAGUAUCACGUGGAUAACCUGCCCUCGGCACCGGGAUAGCCCGGGAAACCCGGAUUAAUACCGGAUGGCCCUUCCGGCUCACGAGCCGGUCGGAAAAGGUAGCUUCGGCCUCCGGCCGAGGAUGGGUCCGCGGCGGAUUAGCUUGUUGGUGGGGUAACGGCCUACCAAGGCUCCGAUCCGUAGCUGGUCUGAGAGGACGAUCAGCCACACUGGGACUGAGACACGGCCCAGACUCCUACGGGAGGCAGCAGUGGGGAAUCUUGCGCAAUGGGCGAAAGCCUGACGCAGCGACGCCGCGUGAGGGAGGAAGGCCUUCGGGUUGUAAACCUCUUUCAGGAGGGACGAAGCUACUCGGGUGAAUAGCCCAGAGGGUGACGGUACCUCCAGAAGAAGCCCCGGCUAACUACGUGCCAGCAGCAGC
rnacentral:rRNA from 1 species